UAAAAGCCAUGACCUUGUACCUAUCCUACCCUGUUCAGAGUAUGUGAGGAUUGAUUUCAUCUCUACGUUUCUAUCUAAGUUUGGGGUUGCUGUUGGAAUAACAACCUUUAAGUUUGGGGUAGCUUUGCAGUACGUGAAUAGUAAGUGAAUGUAGUAUAAAAGAAAGAAAAAAAAAUAAACGAAAAAAAAAGAAGAGAAAAAGAAAAAAAAAAGAAAACAACAACAACAACAACAUGAAAAGAAAGAAAGAGAAAAGCGAGAAAUAAUAAAAGAACAGCUUUUGAAAGAUGCUACAUUCACUAUAUAUAAAAGGAAAAGAGGAUUGCAUAACCCUACAGGAAUAAUAGAAAAGAAACGUAGUGAGAGAAUGAUUUUAUGUACUCUGAACCCAAAAACCUUUGUUCAAAUUUCAUACCCUACCUAAACCAAAACCCCGUUACAACCCAAAAGAAAAAAAAAACCCUUGUUCCAAUUUCAUACCCUACCUAAACCAAAGCCCCGUUACAACCCUAAAAGACCUCAAAAAGUGUGUGUG
rnacentral:lncRNA from 1 species